UAGCUCAAGUUUCUCUUCAUUGUCGCAUAAAUCUUUUCGCCUUUCACUAAAGAUUUCCGUGGAGGGGAACUUUUGCAAGUGACCUGUAUUUUUGGGUGCUCUGCUCACAGCAGAGAA